UAUUACAGCUUAUAUUUUUAUUCCUAAUUAAUAUGAAAUACUGUUCCAUAUUUAUUUUUCUAACAGGUACAAUGAAUGUUAUUUCAGCAAAAGCAUUGGGAAUUUGUUCGAAUGCAUCCAUUGGGGAACCUCUGCAAUGUUGUGAAAACUAUCGCCAAGUAGGAGAAGCUUGUGAAGAAUGUUGGCCAGGGACAUAUACAUCGGGCUGUAUCCCCUGUCCUUCAGAUUUUUAUGGAAGGUUCUGUCAAAAGUCAUGUAAUCAGUGUAAAUCAUGUGACGCAGUUACUGGAUGUGCAACAAA